rnacentral:rRNA from 1 species
UACAUAGCUUAAUGAGGGGAACUCAGGGAACUGAAACAUCUAAGUACCUGAAGGAAGAGAAAGAAAUUCGAUUCCGUAAGUAGCGGCGAGCGAACGCGGAUUAGCCCAAACCAAUAAAGUUUUCUUUAUUGGGGUUGCGGACAUAUCAUAACGAAGAGGUAUCGUAAUUGAAGAGGUUUGGAAAGACCCACCACAGAAGGUAAUAGUCCUGUAUGUUAAACGAGAAGACUUUAGAUAUGAUCCAGAGUACCACGGGACACGUGAAACCCUGUGGGAAGCAGGAGGGACCACCCUCCAAGGCUAAAUACUACCUAGUGACCGAUAGCGUAUAGUACCGUGAGGGAAAGGUGAAAAGAACCCCGGGAGGGGAGUGAAAUAGAACCUGAAACCCUGCACUUACAAGCUGUGGAAGCACAUUUCUUGUGUGACCGCGUACUUUUUGUAGAACGGGCCAACGAGUUACGUUAAGUAGCCAGGUUAAGCACUUAAGGUGCGGAGCCGUAGCGAAAGCGAGGUUUAACUGAGCGGUCAGUUACUUGACGUAGACCCGAAACCGGGCGACCUACCCAUGAGCAGGAUGAAGCGAAAGUAAAAUUUCGUGGAGGUCCGAACCCACGAGCG